rnacentral:rRNA from 1 species
UGGGGAAUCUUGCGCAAUGGGCGAAAGCCUGACGCAGCGACGCCGCGUGUGGGAUGAAGGCCUUCGGGUCGUAAACCACUGUCGGGAGGGACGAAGCUCUGACGGUACCUCCAAAGGAAGCACCGGCUAACUCUGUGCCAGCAGCCGCGGUAAUACAGAGGGUGCGAGCGUUGUCCGGAAUCACUGGGCGUAAAGGGCGCGUAGGCGGCCUGGUAAGUAGGGGGUGAAAUUCUGCGGCUUAACCGCAGAGCUGCCUUCUAAACUGUCAGGCUUGAGCACGGUAGAGGCUGGUGGAAUUCCCGGUGUAGCGGUGGAAUGCGUAGAGAUCGGGAAGAACAUCGGUGGCGAAGGCGGCCAGCUGGGCCGUUGCUGACGCUGAGGCGCGAAAGCGUGGGGAGCAAACAG